rnacentral:rRNA from 1 species
UGGUGGAGUGAUUUGUCUGGUUAAUUCCGUUAAUAAGGUUCGUUAACACAUGUUGAUUCAUGUGUUCUAAGGAGGAUUUCAUAUAUCCAAUAUGAUGAAAGAUAAAGCAAUAACA